UCGUACAGGUCUCCGUAGGUGAACCUGCGGAGGGAUCAUUACAAGUGACCCCGGUCUAACCACCGGGAUGUUCAUAACCCUUUGUUGUCCGACUCUGUUGCCUCCGGGGCGACCCUGCCUUCGGGCGGGGGCUCCGGGUGGACACUUCAAACUCUUGCGUAACUUUGCAGUCUGAGUAAACUUAAUUAAUAAAUUAAAACUUUUAACAACGGAUCUCUUGGUUCUGGCAUCGAUGAAGAACGCAGCGAAAUGCGAUAAGUAAUGUGAAUUGCAGAAUUCAGUGAAUCAUCGAAUCUUUGAACGCACAUUGCGCCCCCUGGUAUUCCGGGGGGCAUGCCUGUUCGAGCGUCAUUUCACCACUCAAGCCUCGCUCGGUAUUGGGCAACGCGGUCCGCCGCGUGCCUCAAAUCGACCGGCUGGGUCUUCUGUCCCCUAAGCGUUGUGGAAACUAUUCGCUAAAGGGUGUUCGGGAGGCUACGCCGUAAAACAACCCCAUUUCUAAGGUUGACCUCGGAUCAGGUAGGGAUACCCGCUGAACUUAAGCAUAUCA
rnacentral:rRNA from 1 species